rnacentral:rRNA from 1 species
GAUGAACGCUGGCGGCGUGCUUAACACAUGCCAGUCGAACGGAAAGGCCCUGCUUGCAGGGUACUCGGGCGGCGAACGGGUGAGUAACACGUGGGUGAUCUGCCCUGUACUUUGGGAUAAGCCUGGGAAACUGGGUCUAAUACCGAAUAUGACAAUUGUUUGGAUGCGAUUGUGGAAAGCUUUUGCGGUAUGGGAUGAGCUCGCGGCCUAUCAGCUUGUUGGUGGGGUAAUGGCCUACCAAGGCGUCGACGGGUAGCCGGCCUGAGAGGGUGUACGGCCACAUUGGGACUGAGAUACGGCCCAGACUCCUACGGGAGGCAGCAGUGGGGAAUAUUGCACAAUGGGCGCAAGCCUGAUGCAGCGACGCCGCGUGGGGGAUGACGGCCUUCGGGUUGUAAACUCCUUUCGCAACCGACGAAGCCUUUUGGUGACGGUAGGUUGAGAAGAAGCACCGGCUAACUACGUG